rnacentral:rRNA from 1 species
UAAGGAAUAUUGGUCAAUGGACGCAAGUCUGAACCAGCCAUGCCGCGUGAAGGAUGAAGGUCCUCUGGAUUGUAAACUUCUUUUAUCUGGGACGAAAACGGGAUUUUUAUCUCAAUUGACGGUACCAGAGGAAUAAGCACCGGCUAACUCCGUGCCAGCAGCCGCGGUAAUACGGAGGGUGCGAGCGUUAUCCGGAUUUACUGGGUUUAAAGGGUGCGUAGGUGGGCUUAUAAGUCAGUGGUGAAAUCUCCGAGCUUAACUUGGAAACUGCCGUUGAUACUAUAGGUCUUGAAUUAUCUGGAGGUCAGCGGAAUAUGUCAUGUAGCGGUGAAAUGCUUAGAUAUGACAUAGAACACCAAUUGCGAAGGCAGCUUACUACAUAUAAAUUGACGCUGAGGCACGAAAGCGUGGGGA